rnacentral:lncRNA from 1 species
CCGAGGAUGGUUUUGCACCAUGAAGGUGCUCACCACGGCAUUGCUUCUAGUCACCCUGCAGUGUUCCCAUGCCCUGAGUCCCACCAACUGUGAUGCCUCCAAGCCUUUGGCUGAGAAAGUUCUAGACUUGAUCAAUAAAGGGCGGAGGAGUGGCUAUACUUUUCAGCUGCUGCGGGUCUCUGAUGCCCACUUGGACAGAGUGGAUCUACUACUUAGUUUUAGAUGUGGUAGAAUCUGACUGUUGGGUCCUCUCCACAAAAGCCCAGGAUGAGUGUCUUCCAGCCAUGAGGACAUCUGAGAUAGUGAUUGGACAGUGUAAGGUAAUAGCCACAAGAUACUCCAAUGAGUCUCAAGAUCUUAGCGUGAAUGGCUAUAACUGCACCAUGAGAUCCG